AGAACACCUUCCGGUCCAGCUGAACUCCUGGCCCAGGGUGAUUCACUGUCCUCACAGGAAUCCGGAACAUCUGAUCUCCCUCCAAAAGCAAAAUUCAGGAAGUCAGACCGACCCCUAAAGAGGCCGGGUGGGACUGUACUGCUACUGGCUUCCUAGUCUUCUCCAUGAUCCUACAGCCCCGUCCGUAAUCCCACGAAAUGCUCCAGGUCACUACUUACCGGGUUCUCUCUUCCACCAAGCUGAGAGGGUAGAGUCCAUUUUUAAACCGAUGCUGUCACUGGCCUCUAGCCAAACACCUCCAUUCUGGACCUACAAUGGCUGCUACAUUUUGCCAAAACCCUGAAGUACCCUGAGUCAGUCACAUGUGUGCCUAUUUGCAUAUCUCAGUCAGAUAGAAGCUCCCAGAAUUUCACGUGGCUUACUGUGGCUACUUUGUGUCAUUACAUUUUUUUCAUCAUAAAUUUUACCAAAAGAAGUGUGAUGUAGCAUAAGGCAUAAAAACAGAGGGGGAAAAAAAGCCAGCCAGUUUCUUCCUUCUGCAUAUUAAGGCAAUCUUAGGAGCCACAAAACAAAUUCUCAUGGUUCGAUAAUAAUGUAGCUUUUCAACAUCUGAAUUCCAAAGUAUGGAAUUCCGGAGAGCCUUCAGAAGUUUUCUUGAUGUGAUUUAGUUGCAAUUUCUGUAAUCGGAGUUCUCAGAACCUCAACGUAUCUUUAUAUGUUGAAAACAACCCCAUCUAUCGAGUCUUCUUUCCUUGCCUUUCUUCCUAACUCAGUUGGGUAUGGAGGGCGGUAGGGGAGGCUGCCCCUUCCCCAGAGCACACAGGGUAAGAGCUGCUUGAUUGUCCUAGCACUUCCUAACCAGGGAUGCCAACCCGCACAGCCACUUCAUGUGGGAGGCACUAUCACUGUCCACAUCUGAGGAAUGACAAGCUAGACUCAGAAAUCUAGUAGACUGACCAGCCAUCUGGAUCCAGAACCUCUCCCCCUCAGCCGCUAAGUGACAGUGUGACUUGAUGGGAUCUUAGGCUACUUAGUAAUUAGGAACUUGAUAUUCCCCGCUAAGGGCAAUGGAUUUCAUUCCCCGUGAGUGAGUCAUUCUAUGGGAAUGGAAAGACUGGCUCACUGAGCGCCCUUCCCACCUCAACUCUUCCUUCUCAACACUCCACCUGUGUGUGUCCGUUGUAAGGUCUGAAACACUGACCAUCGACAAGCCACGGGUCACCUGACGCCCUGAGUGCAAUGUGCAAGCAGUGUCUGUGGAGGCCAGAAAAGGAUACUGAAUGGAACUGUAAUUACAGAUGCUUGAGAGCCACCAUAUGGAUGCUGGCAAUCAAACCCGAACCAUCUGCAAGAGCAGCCAGUGUUCUUCAUCACCGAGCAAUCUCUCCAGCCCUCAAGCUCUUUACACCUAUCUUAAUUCCUUUAGGAGAAGCAGUUAAAGAAAUGGAUGCUUAACGUUUACUUACUUCACAUUUCAUAAUUUAAAAAUGUUAAACAGGAUGCUAACAAAACAUGGACCAUACAACAAUCGUAUUUCAGGCUUUGAGCCUUACACUGGAUCAAGGCAAAAGUCUGCUGCCUUGAAAAUGGGUGUGUGAAGAGCCCAGAGGGCCAGAACGUGAAGUUUCUAGAAGUAUCUAUGGAUUUGCAGAUAAACCUCAGGAUUGAGCAUAACUGGGACAUCAGAUUAUUAACUAAGUUCCAAGGCAAGGGUGCAAAAGGAAUUCUGUAAAUCUAUUUGCUUAACAGUCAAAUUAUAGAAAACUAGAGAAAGUUAUAAGCCCAAGUGAGAACACUGAUGAUCAGGUAUAGAUGUCACCGAGUUAAAACCACCCAACCCCUGGGCAGAUGCUUCCCUCCCCAUUUCUCUGGUGUAAAUGCUAAAUCACUAUUCAGGAGUCUGCAAGGUGACAUAUUUUAAAGUAAGAGCUUACAGAGUUCAGGUACCUGUAUAUCUACACCAAGACCUGGGCAGAGCUACACCAGGCCACCAACACAGUUACACCAGGCCAUCACCACAGUUAAGCCAGGACAUCAUCACAGUGACACUGGGACUUCCUGACUCCCAAGUCCACAUUGAUCUUUCUAAAAAUUCCGGUUUCCCCUUUCAACACUUUAGAGGUCCCUCACACUUCAGAGAUUUCUAGGGCAUGGACAGGAUACACUGCACAUUUUAUUUCUUAGACAGCAAAGGUAAGUCAAACGAAAGCAAUGAUUGCCCCUGUGCUGUGGCCAAAUAAGUCAGUCCAUAAUUAAAAGUGUGUAACACAAUAUUUGCUAUUAAUAAUAUUAUCAGUUUGUUAAACAGAUUAUCAGAUUUUUUUUUUCAACAACACAGCUAGCUAAACACGACACUUUCUGUCCAGCCAAACUGGGUGUGUGUAUCUGGGCCAGAAUUAUGUACCCAUCCAAUGAACACUGUCACACUGAGAAAAGACAGUGUCACAGAAUCUGGAGACAUCUUCUUUUGAACAUGAUGUGCCAGGGACAACUUCACAUGGAAGUAAGGUUUAACACGUUUGCUGCAGCUCUCCACACAAGAGGUAUUGAGCAGCAGUGAAGGCCAGCCAGGUCGCCAUUGUUGAGGCACCGUCACAGGUCCAGUUCUCAUUUUGAUGAGUGAGAGCCGAGGGCACGUCAUACUCAGCACUACACAGAAAAACCUGCCCAUCUCCACCCCCAUUCUCACUGCCGUCUUCCUGCACAGGCAGAGCAGGAGGAGGCGGUGCUAGAUUGGAGGGACAAAUCCUCUAAGAUGGGGAGAUGACUGAAAUACAGCCAGGGGAAAAACGCUCAGAGCCUUGAUGCAGUGGGGUGCCCUGGACCCUGAUCUAAUGGAUCUGGAAGCCUCCUGCUGGAAGAGAAGUGUCUCAGGAUUAUACAACUCAGAAGCCCAUUCCUACUGUCCUAAGCUCUUGUGCUUAAAACAGACUUUACUGUAAACGAGGUGACCACUGAGCUUUCUGUAAAUGCCUUUCUGUAAUCAUUAGAGAAAAAACAAACAAAAACUCAGCUUUUAAAAAGGGGUCUGUGUUAGCUAGUUUUUACAUCAAGUUGACACAAGAUAGAAUCAUUUUGGUGUGACCGGACUGAGGGCAAGCCUGUGGUGCGUGUUUUAAAAGUGAUGACUGAUGUGAGACCCUGGGCUGGUGGUCCUGGGUUCUGUGACAAAACAGGCUGACAAAGCCAUGGGGAGCAAACCGGUACACAGCACACCUCCAUGGCCUCUACAUCAGCUCCUGCCUCCAGGUUCCUGCCCUGUUGGGAGUUCCUGCCCUGACUUCCUUAAGCAAUGGAGGGUGACCUGGGAGCUGUAAACUGAAAUACAUCCAACUGAAACAUGGAGUGUCUUCCCUCAGACAUCCCCAAACUGUCUAUGGACACCAUGAUGUGUUGAAACCCCAUGACUACUUCACAGAGUCGGAGACAACCACAGAUGUAAUGCAGAAGCUUAGUGUCUGAUGCAUGAGUAACACAGAGAGUCAAGAUUCUGUCCGGCCAAUGUGGGUGAACAACCCACCUCCUCCCUACUUCACCACUCAAAUAUUUGUACAUUAGGGAGGUAGGUAUAAGUAAAAAUUUCUACAGAACUCAGAAAAAUGGCAUUGUAAGGUUUGUGAAGUUUUGAAAGCCCCCAAGCCUUCAGUCUUGUGUGCACUGUGGAAGAAUAUGAAUGCUACAGAUUCUACAUGGGCCUCCGUGUGGAAGGCUGUUUAACAGGCAGCUUGGAACAUUUGGUCGUAUCGUGAUUCAGUUGGCUAUCCUAUCAUGCCACUUACAAAAAAUAGGGUUAUAGGACAUUCCUAUAACCCUAGUCCUUGGGAGGCAGAGUUGGGAG
rnacentral:lncRNA from 1 species